UAGAAGCAAGCAGACCAUCCCUGCAUGCUACCAGCAAGCCCUGCUUGGUUUCCACUGCGACUGUUGCCCCUGCCUCCUCUUGGUGUUGCCACCCCGUUCACCUUUCCAGCGCCACAUCUUGCCCCUGUCUGCUGGAUCGUUGGCCGUUGCUGGAGUCCUAUGAUAUGCACUGUUCUGUUUUACCAGACAUGCUGAAGCAGAAGAACAGGAGGAGCCACUCGAGGUUUCUCCUAUGAUAUUCGUCAAGGGUUGAUGGCUGCAAGUGGUUGAUCUAUAGGCGGCAGCAGCUUCUCCGUUUCGCUGACAGUGAAUUCUGUCGCCUGCUGCUCAUUAUCCACCACUUGGUCGAUGCAUGCCGAUGUCGCUGCUGCUCCUGUUGCCUGUAACCUAAUGGAAGCAGGGCUGUAAUGGCAUGCUUAAAUUUCCCUGUCGACAGGCAGGGGAGUUCGUUGCAACUUUAUUGCCUGCAAUUGCAGCCGCUCAUCACAUGCCUAGUACUCCCAACAGCAAGUGACAAACUCUCCUGCUGCAGUCUGCAAAGCCUGAAGCUGGAGCUGUUCCAGUUAGCAGAGAGGAAUUAAACGGCCAAGAAAGACUAAAAAUGGCUCUCACUUCUUGGUAGGUGUUCUGCUCCCAACACGCUUGGCUUGACCAUUCUAGGAGAUUCUUCUCUUUUCGGCUUUCGGUGGCUGGCCGUGUUCCUCCUCAGUCCUCAUGCACGGCCAUUAGAUUCUACUGUGGUGUAGGGGCAGUGAAGGAGGCCAGCGAGGUGGGCCUGGUGAUCUCGUCGAGUGUAAGGCUGGGAAAUUGCAUGCAUGGAUGGGUGGAUUAGAUGCUUGCGCUUUACUGCAACAUGGAUGAUGUAACUUGGACGUGAAGGAAGGGACAAAUGCCUUGGGAGGAAAAAGAAACAAAACACCUCUCUAGAUUCUAGAGAUGGUACUACUAAAUAGCAUGGCAUUCCCCUAAAUCCCGUCGUCUCUUGGGUUUCUUAGUCCGUUUUCACUCUCUUAAGGCGCGAUCGAUUGUUUCCCGAGGCGUCUGAUUGCUUCUUGCAUUGCUUCAACGUUGGUACAAGAUUUUACAUA